UACGUAGGGACCAAGCGUUGUUCGGAUUUACUGGGCGUAAAGGGCGCGUAGGCGGCAAUUCAAGUCAGUUGUGAAAUCUCCGAGCUUAACUCGGAACGGUCAACUGAUACUGUUUUGCUAGAGUACAGAAGGGGCAAUCGGAAUUCUUGGUGUAGCGGUGAAAUGCGUAGAUAUCAAGAGGAACACCUGCGGCGAAGGCGGGUUGCUGGGCUGACACGUGACGCUGAGGCGCGAAAGCUAGGGGAGCGAACGGG
rnacentral:rRNA from 1 species